rnacentral:tRNA from 1 species
GGAACCGUGCCCGAAAGAUAAGGAUCUCCUUGAUAGGGAGAUUAAUAGGGGUGCAAACCCCCUCGUUUCCU